GUCCACACUGUAAACGAUGAUCACUCGAUGUUGGCGAUACACAGCAAGCGUCUUAGCAAAAGCGAUAAGUGAUCCACCUGGGGAGUACGCCGGCAACGGUGAAACUCAAAGGAAUUGACGGGGGUACGCACAAGCGGUGGAGCAUGUGGUUUAAUUCGAUGAUACGCGAGGAACCUUACCUGGGCUAGAAUGCCCUUGAUUGGUCCAGAGACGGAUCGUUCCGCAAGGACAAGGAGCAAGGUGCUGCAUGGCUGUCGU
rnacentral:rRNA from 1 species